UUAAAGAAAUCAAACCUGGCAACUUCACACUGUUCCUCUUCUCUCACAGACACCAACCUGUCUCAUCAUCACCUCUAUGAGGAGGGAGGUAAACUACUUUGAGGUCUCAAGGGUGGACGUGAGAUGGACAGCAUUUCAGUUUUGAUUUCCCUAAAAAUGGAUUCAGCCCGGCCGACCUAGAAACCAGUUUCCGCUUUUCCCCUGGAUGGAAUUAGCAGUUAUAUGUGCCUAUCCUGGAGGUUACGUUUCCCAACUCAUAUUCAGUCAGCACCACUUCUAUCAAUGAAAAAUGAAUUAUCUUCAGGACAUGAGUUAUAUUUGGCAGUUUCCUCUGUUUUGGAGCUCCAUGGCCCUCCUCAUAGAACAGGGGUCGGCAACCCGCGGCUCUGGAGCCGCAUGCGGCUCUUUCUUCCCUAAGCUGCGGCUCCCAAUGGAUUUGGAAAAUAAAUAAUAAAUACUUAAAUUUUAUUUUAUUUUAUUUUUUGUUUUUUUUGUAAUUCUAAAUUCAAAGAUUAUAAUGCUCUUGUAACAUUAAAUAAACUAUUAAGGCUGCAACAACGAAUCGAUUAAGUCAAUUCGUCGUGACGAAAAAAUCCGUUGCCAACUAAUUCUGUAAUCGAUUCGUCGGGUCUUUAUAUAUGUCCAUGGAUACCGGCGUGUAAACAUCAGCAGGACGCACAGAAAAGAAACAGCCAUGGCCGAGGCAGCGGCUGAGAAAAACAUGGACACUACCCAACCCAAAUCCCGACCUAAAACAUCAGUGGUGUGGGAAAACUUUACCAAGACUGAAAAGGAAGGCGUUCGGUGCAACAUUUGCAAAGCCCGUUUUGCAUGGCACGGGAGUACAUCGAUGAUGCGUGAAAAGUCUCUCAAGUCUCACGCAUUCAGCGUAUGACACACGCAUUCCCACUCAUUCACAUGCUCACACACCACACAUUGUAUUUCUCACGCAUUUAAAUGAACAUGGUGAUGUCCACCAAGUUACACUUCUUCAACUAUGGAACAGGUGGAAAUCAGCUGAGUUUCUCCGAGAGUUCAGAAGCUGCGUGCCACACGCAAGCCAAUCAAAUAAAGUAUAUCUACUGAACAGCCAAUCAAAAAGCAGCAUUGCUGUAUCCGGGUAGAUUUUGAUAUCUUGCGGUUUGACUACAGAAGAAGACAGACACUCGCCGAAAUAGAGCAGGUUUUUAUAAGGACGAGAUAGACCCGAUGAUUACAGUAAGUCAGUAACCUUCACAUGCAGAGACCUCAACACCUCAUGGCAGAUAAACUCAUAUGAUAAACUAAAGCCCUAUGCUAUUGCUAUUAACAGCUGCAUUGAUGAAUUUAGCCUGUUUAUCCGAUUAAUCGAUUAGUUAUUAAAAUAGUCGACAGAUUAAUCGAUUAUCAAAAUAAUCGUUAGUUGCAGCCCUAUAAACUAUGUUAAUUUUUUUUUAUCUACUUUCUUUUCUGAGACUAUCGUUUGGCUCUGCCAGAGAUUCACAGUGAUGUGAAUGCUGAAAUACUCAGAAAUGCAAUUUCGCACUAAUAUAACAUCCUGUAUUAUGUCCUGUGGCAUCAGGAAAAUGAUAUAUGAACAUGUAGACAACAAGAAUAACAUGAUUUUCAUUGAAGUGGGUCUUCAAGGUUAUUUCAAACCAUUUAAAAUAUUUUUGUUUGCCUGCAGAAAUAACAUUUCUUUUUCUCUGCAGCAGUUCACUUAUUUCAUAAAUGCAACUCACUACAGUUUUUUAUAUACUUUGUAUAAAGGUAAAAAAAAGAUAUAUGCAAUGUUAUCUUCAUUUUAGAUGUCAAAGAGGUUUUGUGGCUCCCUGUGUUUUCUUUUCUGUGGGAAACUGGUCCAAGUUGCCGACCCCUGCCAUAGAAUGACAACAAGUGAGGCAGGGGGAGCACAUCUUCCCCCCAUUUCUUUCUUGCAUUUUUUUAAAUUCUGUUUUAAUGUGAUUUUCAUGGUUCACAUGUUCAUUCACUUAUCAAUUUGCCAAUCUCGUCCAUUCAUCUGUAAAUUACAGCACUGAACAGUACCGAAGUACAUUCACAAUUCCUUUUACAAUACAGAUAGGGAUGAUUGGUCCUCCUUCAAUCACACAAAUGAUGAAAUUAAUAAAAUACAAACAUUGAGAACUUAACCGAUCUGUAAGAAUCUAAAGAAGUCAUCAUUAAAGUCCAAACUGUCUCUUUAGGUUUUGAAACUGUUUCCUUACACACACAAAAAAAAAAUUACAAUAUGCUGCUAGUCCAUUGGUUUUACAGACCUUGAAUCUUUCAUCCAAAUUAUUAGGCAUAAAAUCUGGAUCAAAUGCACACCAUCUCAGUACUUUUAUCACUUCUUUCAAAUUCUUUUCAGUUAUUACCCUUGGCACAGCUUAAGUGGUAAACCAAUCUAGGGGUUUCCCAGAUCAAUUAACUUAUUCAUCAAACCCUUAUCUCGUAUUGCUGCUUGAAUUGGGAACCCUAUGUCGCCCUCCAACUCCUUCCAUCUAGCACUAUAUUCUGGAUUGCACCAACACUAACGGUCUCAAGUGAGCUGCAAUGUAAUAAUCUUUUUAACAUGGGAGCGCAACCCCUCCCUUGUUUUUUGCUCACUGUAAAUUCUGAUAUUUGAUUCUUGGCUGACGCCCCUGCCAAAUGUACCUGGAGAUGAGUUCCUCCCCUCCAUUUCAUCUAUAUACUAAACAAGAAGCCAAGGAAGGUAGAGCAGCAGCAGAGACUCCCAGGCCACAAACAGAGCAGGCAACAGAGAUGAUGCAUAUUCAGUAAAAAUCUAGCAUGUGGUAAAAGGAGGAGCUGGGCUGGAGGCAAAAACCUCUAUGGAGGAUGUAAGAAGAGUCAGCAUGUGCAGAAGGUAAUUGGCUAAGCUGUCAGCUGACAUGGACUCUGUGGCAUGCCUGAACUAAUGCCAUGUCCAAUAAGGGUUUUUGCAUGAUGGGUUGUGAGUUGCCUCGGCAGUACUGAAGUCACGCAAACUUUAAACUCCAUCCAUCUGUCCAUGCACCCGCCCGUUUUGGUCCUCCUAUCUGAGGGAGGUUCUCAAAGUCGUCAGGUCAAGUCCAGAUGUCCUUCACCCCAGUAACAUUUACAGCUCCUCCUGGGAGGGUCCCAUGUUGUUCCCAAGCCAGAUGGGAUAUGAUCCCUACAGCAAAUUCUGGGUCGACCCUAAAGUCUCCUUCCAGCUGGACAGUUCUGAGAGACCCUAACCCUAGGACAAGACCCUUAGAUCCUUGAACCCCUUCACUUAAUUUCAAAACUUUAUCUGAUGGAAUAAAUUAUAAACAUGCAGGGAAAGAAAAUAGAUUCCUGUGUUUGAAAGAGGAAAUGCUGGUGAAUUGAAUUCUUUGGUGUCCUUUUCCGAAACUAUAGUGUCUCUUGUGGCUCAGUUAUUGUGGAAGCUUCAGUAAAAAGUCAUGAUUAAAAACUUCAGCACCGUUUCAAAAAUAAAUUACUCAGCCUCAUGCAGAUGAUAAUCACCGGGAUUUGGUCAGUAAAUUUGAGCAAGACUAAUGACAGAGGAUUUUAUCCCUCAGAGAAAUUAAAGUUUUUAACUACUUUUGUGUCUUCAUACAAAUUCAGAAAAUUAUUAUUACUAUUAUUAUUUUUUUUUUUUUCCUGAAAACGCUUUCAAUUUUGUUAAACUUCAAAUUAAUCCCAACAGACAAGUUAAAGCUGUCCUUUUUUGAUACUGACGCUCCAAUGGACAAUUUUUGUCUGAUUGUAUCUCCAAUUCUCUAUUUUCACCAAACAGACAUCCUUUGCACCACUAUCGUGAAAAAAAAGCAGAAAAACAUCAGCUCCUCCUUGAAGUCCUGAACUACCCAACCUGUUGAUCUGCUCAAAUCUGCUGAAGAGACCUCCUCUCUCGGCCCAGCUCCCCUUCUCAUCCCCAGUGUUUGCUGGCGAGUCCUUUAAGUGCUCUCCUGCACCACCAAAAGUACAAGCUGCCAGCGCUCUAUGUUGUGGCCCCCUUGACUUGAGCCUCUAAAGAUCGGACUUCAUCCUGAGGACUCUUUAUUUUUCCUGACAAACAACAUCAAUUCAGUCCGACACUCAGAGCUCCUCUCCCCGGCGGCACUCGACCAAAUAACUGUUCUUUCCUCUAAUCGUAGAUACAGACAAAUGAACAGACAAACUGCUGGAGUUUUACGGACUCAAGUGGCCAAAAGAAAGUACCACCAGACUAAAGGGUGUAAAAAGGUGAUAAAAAAUACUGAUAAAUAUUAUCUAAUUUUACUCGGACAUGUAUUAAAGCACUGGUGGUAACUCUCCUUUUCAGUUUUUGGCUUUAUGCUCCAGAAAAGCUUGGUCUGUAAAAGUACAGCAAACUGGAAAUAAAAACAUUCACUAAAGUCUCCAAGAGUUUAUUGUUGUGUUUCAUUUUUUCUCAUAGCCGCAAAACCCAGACAGAAAAAGGUGUUGAUGAUUCAUACUGCCUGAAAACUCUCAGAGUUUGGUGUACCAGCAAACUUCAUCUCCUUACAGCAGGUUACACUGAAUGCAUUAACUCAAAGCCCAUGCUGCCUUGAAACAGACCAAGUCACUGUUCAUUUAAUAGCUUGAUAGCUGCAACUGUCAUUCUCUUUUUUUCCUAUACCAGGGGCACAGAAAUUGAUUUCAAUGAGGAACAGUCUGUCUUCCUCAGUAAGUCAUGUCCUCAUUGUGUUUUACAAUGUUUCCACGGGGCAACUUUUGCACCUCUCCUCAGUCUCAUUUUAUGUAUCUACGGAGAGAUUCAUUUUGUAGCAAGGCAGAGGAAACCAUCAAUAAUGUUACGAUAACCCGACAGCGGUGACCUGCUUUUCCUGGCUGAUGUUCCUCCUUUGUGCUGACGAGGCUGUAGAUGAGCCGGGAGAGCCUGUGUUUCAAUAACAGCUAAAGGCAAAUCUUUGCCUGAUGUAUUUCCAGAAGAGAGGAGGGAGUGGAGCUCAUUAUAACAACUCUCUGGAGGACAGGUGGAGUCAUAUGACCAGGACCGAGCUCCGCCUGUAGGGGAUUGUCUCUGAGUGUCUCAUAGAUAGUGUCAUCUAUUCAAUACCACCCAGUGUAAAAUAAGACACAUAUACGUUGGAUGUGACCUUUGGGCCGACUAAAAAUAACUCCGCUCCAGAAAACAUGAUUCACCUCAAUAAAACAGAAAAUUCAUAAACAGCAUCCACAUCUCUGCUCAGAAAUCAUUCCACACUUCAAAUCACGAUUUUUACCCCACUCACUGUAACCCCAGUUUCCACCCCAUGUGGAAUGGCGGCGAAAAGGCCGUCUGCACAGAUCGCCGCUAAUCUUUACCACUCAAAUGAAUUAUUUUCGGCCUCCUGCUAUUCAGUGGGCUCUGCAGCCAAUUGCCAGGGUUCUAUUUUUUACAGACGCUGCAGCAUACCACAUAAAUUCAGGCCAGAUUAGCCCCUGCUGGAAAGGAAGUCUACACUACGUGUUUCAGGUGGAUUGUAUUUCACACCAUGCAAACGUGGGCGGGGACAAACAAGUUAAAGGUUUUCAGACAUCAUUUUACUCUGUUGAGACCAUGGAUGAGGAGAUGCUGAUUCUGGAAGUCCAAGAUCACAGAAUAAUCUAUGACCCGUCUCAUCCCUUAUAUAAGGACAAUCAUAAAAAGGAUAUGGCGUGGCAUUCCAUAGCAGUAGUAAUGGGAGUGGAUGGUAAGUUACAAAUUAGUACCAAUAUAUGUUGUUUCUGAGCUAAUUGUUCGUUUAUAUAAAUUUAAUAAGACAUUGUCAUCGAGACAACUCGUUAUCAUGCGAUUGCAUGUGAACUAAUUGUCACAACAGCACAAGAGUCACAGAGAUGCAGGCACAGACUUGCAGUCCUGAAACUGCAGCCUGCAGCCAGCUCUGCAGACUCAGGGCGGCCUCAGGGGGUAGAGCGGUCGUCUAAUAACCGGAAGGUUGGCUGUUCGAUUCCCCCCUAUCCCGAUUGUGCUCGUUGUGUCCUUGGGGAAGACAAUUAAUCCACCUUGCUCCCAUUGUGUGUCCUCCACUGUUGUAUGACUGUGAGUGUUGUGUGGUGGUGGUCGGAGAGGCCGUUGAUGCCAACUGGCACCUAUGUUUCCAUCAGUCUGCCUCAGGACAGCUGUGACUACUGAGGUAGUUUACCACCACCAGGGUGUGGCUGUAUGAGCGAAUGAAUGAUGUAUCCAAUGUAGAGUGCUUUGAGGGUCUCUGAUAAAGUGCUAUAUGAAAUCUGAUGCAUUAUUUUUAUUAUUAUGAUAUUGCCCAAACUGUCCACUUUAAGAUUCUGGGAUAAAGUUUUGGACUAAAAUUAGUAUGAGCUCAUCAAACUGAAAAUUCAGCCCUCCCUCCUAAAUGAUGCUUUAAAUUUGUACACCACCCCUGCACAGACCCCUACUGGAUGGGACUUUUGUUUCCUGAAUUUUCUGCCAUCAAACUCUGCAAACCUGCUACAACAGGCUUGAAAAAUGGACACAUUUGCUCCCUUUUAAUUACCUGGAUCUGGCUCCCAGAGCCGCCCCUGCAAAAUAUACUCUCCUGCUUCUGUGAAAUCCUCCAACUUUGAUCUUUACACAGGAUUAACACCACUCCAAACAGGCAACCCAGUCAGAGAACUGCGUGCUUUGAACAAGCUUCACAGCAACUGAGCCUUCACGUCUCCAAAAGCAUCCUGUCCACUUAACCUUGUUUUAAAAAACAACAUGGCGAGUGGCCUUGCUCUGCUUUUUAAUCUCUGUACCUGUUCAAUAUCCUGACCACAUCUGCCUCCACAUGCCUCCCUCCACUGGCUCAAAACUCACUCCAACCUGGCAACCUGU